rnacentral:lncRNA from 1 species
AGAAGGUGUCUUGCUUACCCUUCGCCCUUCUCCGUGAUUGUAAAUUUCCUGAGGCCUCCCCAGUCACGCUGAACUAGUCUUGCUUUCUCACCCAAUCUGGAGUAGAGUGGUACAGUCUUGGCUCACUGCAACCUCCACUUCCCGGGUUCAAGCAAUUCUCCUGCCUCAGCCUCCUGAGUAGCUGGGAUUGCAGGCACCCACCAACAUACCAGGCUCAGCUCAUCAUGAAGAAUGUCCAUGUGACUUUGGUUAAUAAAAUAAUAGAUCCAGUGGACUGUAGUCUGUUUAACUGAGACCUCACACAUAAUGUCAUGGUUGACAGUUACUGGUUGAAGGAAAUCCAUGUUGGGCUUCUGUGGAUGCUGGAUUCUUUCCUUCUGAGAAGAAAUAUAACACACUGACUUUGAGGUGAUGGUGGAGAAAAAGUACAAGCAGAAGACUUUUCCCAACUUCUCCAUAGCCUACAUGCGUGUGGAAACACUUCAGGUUAACCACUUGAAGCUUCAGAGACUGCAGUGAGGCCCUGGCAUAGGAACAUGCUCAUCACGGGCAUGUUCACAGAGCAAAGCAGCCAGCGUGACUGCAGCACAGAGUAGGAAGGGUGUGGAAGGAGAUGAGAGAGAAUGAAGAGGGAAUCUUUGAACUUGAUUACCAAGGAGAUGGGAUGAUAAAUCCAUCCAGCCACUCCAAGAAGCCAAGUUAAGGGAUGGAAGCACUGAUGAAGAGCACAGACAGAAUCAAGUGUACAUGCAGAACAUAUGGUAACCAUAUAAAGGGAUGAUGUCAAAAUUCUCAGCCUCCUUGCUCUUCAGUAUCUUCUUCCCCUUUACCUCGUCUGGAUGGUGUAUAAUGAAGAGGCACCUAGCGGUGCCUCCUGCCUCUAGAGUAAGAUUCAAGGGAGGAUAUAUAGGCUCCUCCAUAGGGUCAAGAGGUUUUCAAAGGCUGUGUUGUCCCAUCCAGCUACCAAAACAAGAGACAAAAUUGUGACCUGGAGUUGAAACUCUAGUGAGUGAUAAAGAGGGGAAGUUUCCUAAAGCAGAAGUUCUCAGUCUGGGGGCUAUCUGUGUGUUGUGUACUGAAUUUUGUGUCCUCCCAAAAUUCAGACGUUGAAGCCCUAGUCCCCAUUGUGGUUGUAUUUGGAGGUGGGGCUUUGGGAGAUGAUUAGAAUUAGAUUAGUUCAUGAAGGUGAAGCCCUUCUGAUGGGAUUAGUACCCAUACAAGAAGAGACACAAGAUCCCUCUACCAAUUAUGCUAGCUCUCCUCUCUUUCUCUCUCCACCGUCUGGGAUACUUCAGGAAGAUGUCUGUCUGCAAACCAGGAAGAGGUCCCUCAAGCACUAAAUCUGCUGGCACCUUGAUCUUGGGCUUCCCAGCCUUUAGGACUGUGAGAAAUCUUUGCUGUUUAAGCAAUCCCAUCUAUGGUAUUUUGUUACAGCAGCCCAAGCUGACUAAGACACUGUGGAUACCUUGCAUGCCUGGGAGGCUUGCACAUCCUUGGACAUUAUAAGUAAUAUUUUUCUGAAAAGGGGUCAUAACUCUCAUCGGAGAGUCAAAAGACCAAGUCUAUGACUCCCAAAAGAUUAUAUACCACUGACGGAGUGGCCCUUGUGUUCUUAUCCUGUAGAACCACAAGAAACUUGAGGAUUGGGGAUCCUAGUCCUGGCCUUCAUUCCGUACUUGCAUGACCAACAUCUAAGAGUACUAACAAAUAUGAUGAAAUAAGAAAGAUUCAAGAGGAUACACAUAUUUUCUUUGUCCAAUGUUGCUAAUAUCCACCUGAGAGUUUAUUAUCCAUAAUAAAAUGUGGAAUCCAGUCUGUACACCAUGA